AUUGAACGCUGGCGGCAGGCCUAACACAUGCAAGUCGAGCGAGCGGCGGACGGGUGAGUAAUGUUUGGGGAUCUGCCCGAUGGAGGGGGAUAACUACUGGAAACGGUGGCUAAUACCGCAUACUAUAGGAUGAGCCCAAAUGGGAUUAGCUAGUAGGUGGGGUAAAGGCUCACCUAGGCGACGAUCUCUAGCUGGUCUGUGAGGAUGAUCAGCCAAACUGGGACGGAGAAACGGCCCAGACUCCUACGGGAGGCAGCAGUGGGGAAUAGUGCACAAUGGGCGCAACCCUGAUGCAGCCAUGCCGCGUGUAUGAAGAAGGCCUUAGGGUUGUAAAGUACGUUCAGCGGGGAGGCGUUACCCGCAGAAGAAGCACCGGCUAACUCCGUGCCAGCAGCAGCGGUAAUAC
rnacentral:rRNA from 1 species